UUACGGCCAUAUCACGUUAAAAUACCGUUUCCCGUGUAAUCACCGAAGUUAAGCAAUCUCGAGCCUUGUCAGUAACUAGAUAGGUAACUACUUGGGAAUACUAGGUGUUGCAGA